GAACAGGUUCACAGGCUCCCGCGGGAAGGAAAUGUAUUGAUGCUGGCCAUGGCCGUUUCCUCAUAGGAGCCAUUGGGCUUCAACGUGUGCUGAGAGCUGCUCAGGGGCACUUGCUCUGGAGCCAAGGCAAACGACAACUUCCUCACUGAUUUUCGUUACCUCAGAGCCUUCCAGAACGUUCCCAUUAGGCAAGGCUCUAUGUUAAAUUAAACCCCACUCGCAGUAAUUUAAGGGGACUGCUACACGGCUGGGAUCUGAAGCAAGCACGGUAAGUUUGUGCUACUUAGAGGCUAAUCUUUAACACACACAUUUCUGCACAGGGAAUGUUUCUGUUUUCACUGAUUGUAAAGUCUGUUUUGUUUUCAAUUUGUCUUCAGAAAGUUGGACCCCCCAGUCAUCAGCCAAGUGAUGGAAAAGUUCUGUCCCAAAAGCCACCUGUCAGAUGCACAAGUCACACCACAUCACUGCUGUUGGAGAGCCUGGCAGCAACACUGGCUCGCUGUCCUGUGCUUCCUCUCUGUUUUAUGAAGUGCUUGACGCCUCCUCUGUGCACUGGACUCAGCAGUCACUUAAAGGGAGAGGAGCAGCCCUUGCUACCAAGGCUCACACUUCUCUCCUCUCGCACCUGGAGGAAUCAGGGAGCUCCUCAGACCCAUGGGCCACACCUGACUGGCAGAGCCAGUGUCGACGUGAAGAAGCACUGAACACAAUGCCCGUUGCAGCUCACACACUUCCCUUCCAUGGCAGGUGCUAUGGCCAGGGCCCUCAGAGGAUCCGGGGCACCUCGGGCAGUCACUGGCCGAUGACAGAAACAACUCUGCUUGUCCUUGAAGCUGUCUAAGCAAUGUGGUCACUGUUUGCUGGGGCACCUGAGGGGCAGCUGCUGAGGAGGGCUGAACAAUUGGGAGCCCCGCUUCUGCCUGGAGAGGCUGCUGGACCUUGGGAUGGUGAACACACACAGGGACCUGAGGACACAAGAGCUUUGAGCUCUGGGUGUGUUGCCAAAACAGUUCUAUCAGGCCAUUUGAGAGCUCACAUGGUCUUUACACAUCAUUAAAACUGAAUAAAAGUAACUUGUGGCAUAACUGCCGUGUUCAGCAGUUAGGUCCCUCUUUCCCUACCAGGGCCAUGAAGGCACUGCUUAGUUUCUUAAGCACUCUAUUCCUGUGGCAUCCUUGGCUUGGAGAGUGAGUACAGAAGGGACUGCUUCACUUAGCAUCGGCAUCAGUAACUGCCAGAUCCUGCCAAGUGUUGGAGUUUUGUUCCGAGAACACUCUGUGAUGAAUUUUGAUUCCUCUCGGUGGACUGCAAAAACAAGAGAGAGCCUAAUUCAAAAGCUGUUUAUAUUAGUUAUCGAUCAUUUUCUGUAAACCA
rnacentral:lncRNA from 1 species